rnacentral:lncRNA from 1 species
CUUUCUAGAGCCGUGCGUGAGGGAAAGUGGGGAGAGGCUGUGGAUACGAGUGUUUCUCUGGAUGAAGCAGUGGGCGGAGAAGCAUAGCAAAGUCUACGCAGAGAACUGGAAGAGAACACCACCAUGCUUUAGGAGAGCUACUAAGAACUGAGUGAGCAAAGAGCCUUAAGGGUACCAUUGUGCCAAGUCAGGGUGCUGAGGCUUUCCCUGUUGUGCUCAGCCCGCCAGGUUCCAAAAAAAUCUUAGGGCCCGGCCUAGGAGUAUGACAUCACUGGGUUGACAUUUUUCCCCGCUUGUUUGUAACCCCAGUGCCAUAUCAGGGCUCCAACUGCUUAGAAAUGUGAAUUAUGGCUCACAUUUGCGUCUCAUUUGCUGUUUGUAAGCUGAGGUAAUCCUCUGAACUAUAUAGUGUGGCAUUACCUGUUUUUCAAAUUCACCUCCCAAAGUUCUGAGAAGCCAAACAUCACCCAAGUUAUCAAGUUGCAGCGCACAAACUGAAAUCGGUGUUUCUGACUCACACUUAAGUCCACUCUGCCUACAUAGAAAGACUGCAUUCCUUUCAUUUUCCCUCUUGCAGUUGCUUCCCUGGGAUGGAGAUAAGUCAUUUUGGUAGACUUCUAUGGAAAUUGAUCCACCAUGAAGAAUUGAAGAGAAGAAUGUAAGAAGAAAAACCCAGAGGACUCUUUUGAUUUUGCAGAAUUUGGUCUGAGAGGUAGAAGAGGAUGUCUGGGAAAGAGAAGUCUAAAUUUGAUGAAAUUGCAAAGGAGAAUAAAGUAUGCUAUGAUUGGGAAAGAUAAGUCUAAAUUUGAUGAAAUUGCAAAGGCAAAUAAAGUAUGCUAUGAUUGGGAAAUGAAGGAUUACAGACCAGCUAAAAGAGGCAAGAAGAAGAACCUUUAUGCCCCUAGAAGACCAACAUCUGGUAUUUCCCAUUCUGUUCAGAAUUUUGUCCCAAGAUUAAAUCCACAAACCUUUGUGUCUCUAUUGGAGAAGUAGCAAAAAAAAAAAAAAAAAAAAAGCUGGGUGAGAUGAGGAAUAACUUAAGUGACAGUGAAGAGCACUCUUACAUCACUAAGGCAGCAAAACUGAAGGAGAAGUAUGAGAAGGAUGUUGCUGACUGUAAGCAUAAAGGAAAGUUUGAUGGCACAAAACAUCCUACUAACAUUGCCUGGAAAAAGGUGGAAGCAGAAGACGAAGAAGAUGAGGAGAAUGAAGAGGAGGAGGCAGUGGAGGAGGAUGACUUUAAAACCAUUUAUCUAUCUCUAUGUGAAUAUCUUAGAAUACGGGAGGAUUGUAAUUGAUAGUUUCUUAUUGUGAAGUGUCUAUUGGCCUCAUUAGAUUUAAUUACAAAAUCUGAUGAUGAUCAUAUUGUAGCCUCUCAAAGUGCUCUAGAAGUUGUCAGUGGUUUACAUGAAGUGGCCAUGGGUGUCUGGAACACCCUGAAAUGGUAUCAAAGUUGUAUGUAUUUCCAAACAUUUUAAAAAUGAAAAAGCACUGUUGUGUUCUGUUCACUGUGUACUUUGUUGUUGGUGUAACAAGGCAUUUAAAGAUGUUUCUGACUUUUUUAAUUUGUAAGGUGGUGUUAACUGUAUGGUUAUUGGCUAGAAAUGCUGAGUUAUUAACCGUUCAUAUUUAUAGUUUGUAAAAAGAAUAAAACAACCAAUACAAACUCUUGAUGCUUGGUAUUGAGGCUAUAGGGAGAGAUGUCUUUUGCAGGGGCCAUAGCUCAGAGGGUGCACUGUGAGGCUGGAACUGUUUCCACUGUGAUGGGCUUCCGUUUAGCUUAGGGUAGUCUUGUUUUUUUAUAUAGUGACAUAGCAUUGUGCUGCUUGGAAUAAGGGGGUCAGGUGGCAUGAGAAGUGUUAGAAUUUUUUUUUAGUUAAAUGCAGUCGUUUUUAAAUUGUUUUUAGACAAACUGUAGAGCUUUUCACUGUCAGCAAAGCAAAGAGCCACUGUGUCAAUGAAAGUUCAAUAGCCUUCCGUACUUAAACAAGAUUUGCAAUGUUCUGGGUUUUUUUAUGUUUCAAAUGCUGAAAUGUUUUCAAACUUAAAUAAACUGUACUUCAAUUUUUAAAAGGUGACAACUUCAGGAAACUGCCUUUUAUAGUUACUCUCUUCUCAGUAGGGUAGGAGAUGAGAAAGUCUUCUGGAAGUGAUUAAGAUUCUGGGAGGUGGAAGAAAGGGUAGCAGAUAUUGAAGAUAACAUGAAACAUUUUGGAAUAAUCAUGGUGAACAAUUGGAGAGUUGGGCAAGUAAUAUAGUAUCUCUUUAGGCCAUGUGAGGGUUAAGGUUAAUAGUCAUUAAUAAAUGGCAAUAUUAACCUACCUGGCAUAGGAUUUUCUUCAGCAGAAUAUCAGAGCCUGAGUGGGCUUGGUAAAGGCAGACUUAAAUAGACUCAUUUAGGGAUAGUAACAUUACAGAAGGUAGGAGAGAAGGACAAUUUUGAAAAUAAUUUUAGGGUACUGGCAAAAUAACAUUUAACUAGGUUGGAUUAUUGUAUCUAUGGUCUAUAAGAAAGGAAGUGAAGUCAAAAGGUUGUCAGGAGAAUAAAGGAUCAAUGGGCUAGAAAUCUAAUGAGGCUUAAAAAAAUUGUGGUGGGAGUAUAUUUCAAGGAGAAAAUGGAAAAAAGGAAGCUUUGUUCACAGCACAGAAUCUUAAAUUAAUCCCUUUGAAGUUGAUGGUAAGUUCCAAAGAAUGACUAUGGGAGUGGGUGGCUCAGGUGGGAUGAUGGAGGUCAUUGUGGGAGAUGUGUGACGCAGGUGUCACACAGACCACCCAGGAUAUUGUAUCACCUAGGAUGAAAGCCUAGCUUGAGAUACAGAGGAAGAGUGCCAAAAACUUCAGAGAAUGGAAGAGGACGUGACCAGGAUAUUAGAAAUAUGGUUCUACCAACCCAAAUGUCUAUCAAUGAUAGACUGGAUUAAGAAAAUGUGGCACAUAUACACCAUGGAAUACUAUGCAGCCAUAAAAAAGGAUGAGUUCAUGUCCUUUGUAGGGACAUGGAUGAAGCUAGAAACAAUCAUUCUGAGCAAACUGUUGCCAAGGACAGAAAACCAAACAUUGCAUGUUCUCACUCAUAGGUGGGAAUUGAACAAUGAGAACACUUGGACACAGGGUGGGGAACAUCACACACUGGGGCCUGUAGUGGGGUGGAGGGAGUGGGGAGGGAUAGCAUUAGGAGAUAUACCUAAUGUAAAUGACGAGUUAAUGGGUGCAGCAUACCAACAUGGCACAUGUAAACGUAUGUAACAAACCUGCACAUUGUGCACAUGUACCCUAGAACUUAAAGUAUUAAAAAAAACUUCUAGAAAAAAAUAUACUAUUAUAUAUAGCAAAAAAAAGAAAUAUGGUUCUAGACAUUGCUAUAGUUUAAAUUAUGUACAUGAGACUGCUUAAGGAGAGCUCAUAGCAUGAGAAAAUGGAAGAAGAUCACCAAUAUUUACAGAAGAAGGAAAGGAAACUAAGCCCAGUAAAAAGGUAGGAAAACGUGGCCAGAGAGGGAAGAGGAAAACCAAUACAAAGUAUUGAAAGCAAAGAAGGUGAUACCAAUUGUAAUGUGCUUAGAAUAGUGUCUUGCUAUUUUAUAACUGAAAAAAAUGUGUCAAUGAAGAAGAGAGUUUAAAAGAGAUGAUGAUUAUAUUUAGUGAUGAAUGAGUUCUUGGUAACCAAGAGGAAGUUGUAGAAUGGAUAUGAUGCAUCAAAUUUAAUAUUUUAAUUUUCCCCUUCUUUCAGAUUUUUUGAGAAAUAUAUAGUAAUCAGUCAUGGGAUAAGAGGUCUUAUCAUUCUUUUCCACUUUAAAAUACCUGUUCUCAUUAUAAUCAUACAUUGGUUUUAAAAUUUCUUAGGAGACUCCAUCACCUUCGGUUACGUCAGUGAUUUGUAUACUAGUUCCCCACC